GAUGAACGCUAGCGGCAGGCUUAAUACAUGCAAGUCGUGGGGCAGCAUGAUGUAGCAAUACAUUGAUGGCGACCGGCAAACGGGUGCGGAACACGUACACAACCUUCCUUUUAGUGGGGAAUAGCCCAGAGAAAUUUGGAUUAAUACCCAAUAAUAGAUAGAGAUGGCAUCAUCUUAAUAUUAAAGCUUCGGCGCUAGAAGAUGGGUGUGCGGCUGAUUAGGUAGUUGGCGGGGUAACGGCCCAACAAGCCUACGAUCAGUAGCUGAUGUGAGGGCCUGAUCAGCCGCACGGGAACUGAGACCCGGGCUCUACUCGUACGAAGGGAAGAAGUAAGGAGUAUUGGACAAUGGACGCUAGUCUGAUCCAGCCAUGCCGCGUGAAGGAUUAAGGUCCUCUGGAUUGUAAACUUCUUUUAUUUGGGACGAAAAAAGAUCAUUCUUGAUCACUUGACGGUACCAGGUGAAUAAGCACCGGCUAACUCCGUGCCAGCAGCCGCAGUAACAC
rnacentral:rRNA from 1 species